rnacentral:rRNA from 1 species
AUUGAACGCUGGCGGCAGGCCUAACACAUGCAAGUCGAACGAGUGGCGGACGGGUGAGUAAUGUCUGGGAAACUGACCGAUGGAGGGGGAUAACUACUGGAAACGGUAGCUAAUACCGCAUACCAUCGGAUGUGCCCAGAUGGGAUUAGCUAGGGGGUGGGGUAACGGCUCACCUAGGCGACGUUCCCUAGCUGGGCUGAGAGGAUGACCAGCCACACUGGAACGGAGACACGGUCCAGACUCCUACGGGAGGCAGCAGUGGGGAAUAUUGCACAAUGGGCGCAAUCCUGAUGCAGCCAUGCCGCGUGUAUGAAGAAGGCCUUCGGGUUGUAAAGUACUUUCAGCGAGGAGGCGUUACUCGCAGAAGAAGCACCGGCUAACUCCGUGCCAGCAGCCGCGGUAAUAC